GAUGAACGCUGGCGGCGUGCCUAAUACAUGCAAGUCGAGCGAACGGACGAGAAGCUUGCUUCUCUGAUGUUAGCGGCGGACGGGUGAGUAACACGUGGAUAACCUACCUAUAAGACUGGGAUAACUUCGGGAAACCGGAGCUAAUACCGGAUAAUAUUUUGAACCGCAUGGUUCAAAAGUGAAAGACGGUCUUGCUGUCACUAAUAGCUGGAUCCGGGCUGCAUUAGCUAGUUGGUAAGGUAACGGCUUACCAAGGCAACGAUGCAUAGCCGACUUGAGAGGGGGAUCGGCCACACGGGAACGGAGACACCGUCCAGACUCCUACGGGAGGCAGCAGUAGGGAAUCUUCCGCAAUGGGCGAAAGCCUGACGGAGCAACGCCGCGUGAGUGAUGAAGGUCUUCGGAUCGUAAAACUCUGUUAUUAGGGAAGAACAUAUGUGUAAGUAACUGUGCACAUCUUGACGGUACCUAAUCAGAAAGCCACGGCUAACUACGUG
rnacentral:rRNA from 1 species